CUCUGGAUGAGGUAAAGGACUAUCUUGAUGAGUCGUCUCUACAACAGAAGGUUCUUCAAUUUUGUUUCUUAUAAUUGGUGUUGCAAGAGGAGACAGAUCUAGAGGCAUUUUCUUAAUAUCAUCUUCAGAAGCCUUUUUAAACUCAUUUUCAAAAGGACUUGCUAAUUCAUUGAAUAAGCCCACUUCUUCACAGUUCUUCAAGAAUCGAGUUGGUGUUGGUGUCUGAUCAGCCACAAUGACACUAUCAUUACGAGCCGGACCAAAUUUCAGUGUCAUCUCAUGUUUAUGUUUAUGGACAGCCAAAUGAUCCUCAUUGGUAAAACGCUGGCCACAUCCAGGGGCAGUGCAUAAAAAGGGUUUGUCAUCACUCAUAUUCCACAGGUCGUCGUGCUACCUGUCAGAUUUCACAUAUAAAUCUGUUUCAUAGGGCAAACUAUCAUAUCCUCCUUUUCAUGGCAAUGAACUAGAAGGACUGCAACAACUUCUUUUUUUUUU
rnacentral:lncRNA from 1 species